AUUGAACGCUGGCGGCAGGCUUAACACAUGCAAGUCGAGCGGAGAUGAGGUGCUUGCACCUUAUCUUAGCGGCGGACGGGUGAGUAAUGCUUAGGAAUCUGCCUAUUAGUGGGGGACAACAUUCCGAAAGGAAUGCUAAUACCGCAUACGCCCUACGGGGGAAAGCAGGGGAUCUUCGGACCUUGCGCUAAUAGAUGAGCCUAAGUCGGAUUAGCUAGUUGGUGGGGUAAAGGCCUACCAAGGCGACGAUCUGUAGCGGGUCUGAGAGGAUGAUCCGCCACACUGGGACUGAGACACGGCCCAGGCUCCUACGGGAGGCAGCAGUGGGGAAUAUUGGACAAUGGGCGGAAGCCUGAUCCAGCCAUGCCGCGUGUGUGAAGAAGGCCUUUUGGUUGUAAAGCACUUUAAGCGAGGAGGAGGCUACCUGGAUUAAUACUCUAGGAUAGUGGACGUUACUCGCAGAAUAAGCACCGGCUAACACUGUGCCAGCCGCCGCCGUAAUAC
rnacentral:rRNA from 1 species